AAGGUGGGUCGGACGACCGCGCCGAAAGGCGAGGAAAGUCCAGGCUCCGUAGAGCAGGACGCUGGAGGCAACUCCAGAUAGCGUAAGCUAUGGAAAGUGCCGCAGAAAACAUACCGCCCACCGCUCCCUUUAAGGGAGCAGAGGCAAGGGUGAAAAGGUGGGGUAAGAGCCCACCGGCGGAAGGGUGACCUUCCGGCCAGGCAAACCCCGUCCGGAGCAAGACCAAAUAGGAGGAGAGGGAAGCUGCUCGCUGACUCCUCGGGUAGGUCGCAAAGAUAAAUGGUCGUCGCCAGCCGUAAGGCUGGAACAGAACCUGGCUUAUAGACCCACCUUCCCG
rnacentral:RNase_P_RNA from 1 species